rnacentral:misc_RNA from 1 species
CAGCGCCGUGCCCGCCGAGUCCGCCGACAAUAGAAGGUAUGCGAACACCUGGUCAUGGCCGAAGUCGAACCAGACUUGGAGGACUUCAGGGAACAAAGUGGCGCCUCUGGAAAUUUCCCAGACGGAGGCGGCCAUUUCGAAGAGAGAGUAAAGACUGACGAUUGCAUUUGCAGCGAAAACGUAUCUGAAGGCGUCGAAAUCGUACCAAUGAGGGGAACCGUAUCCUCUGGAGUUAGUGAGAGUGAAGACAACGGAGGCGAGAGAAAAGCAAAACGUAGCGAGUCGGAACAGGAGAAUCAGUGAGUUGAAUCUUUUCAGCUUCUGUAGGGAUACAGUGGAGUGGAAGUGUGGAUCCUCGAUCCGCGGGUGGGGCGACGGAGUAUCGCCGUUACGGAGGGACUGUGUAGACCGCAUGAUCCUUGAUGGUGGUGAUAGUAAUUUUGAAGUAGAAAAGUGGAAAAGGAAUGAAAAGAAGUACUCAUGAGAGGAGAAGAGUUGAAAGGGUAGAGAGAGAGAGAGUGGAGAUUGAGAC